rnacentral:ncRNA from 1 species
GUGUGAAUCAGUGCAGAGACGGCCAGGAGGUUUGCCUAGAAGCAGUUACCCUUGAAAGAGUGCGUGAUAGCUCACUGAUCGAGCGCUCUUGCGCCGAAGAUGAAUGGGGCUAA